GGUGUAAUUUAAGGAAAAUGUGAUUUUGAACAUCAUUAAAAGAAGUUCGAUUCUUCUAUACACCU
rnacentral:tRNA from 1 species